GUGUCCAAACUCCACCUGGGCCCAGGACCUUCUCUGUGCUGGCCUCUGAAGCACAGCAACCACAGCAGCACAGAAACAUCCCUGGGAAAUGACCGUGUGGCUGCACAGAGUUCAAGGGAAGCUGGGCAUCGUGGCCUGUGGGCUCCUGCUGCUCCUCCUCCAAGGCCAGGGUAAGGCUCACAUCGGGAUUGGGGUGUCAGACUCUGUGUUCCCAUCAGCCAAAUGGUGUAGAAGAAGAGACUGAGGCUGCAGGAAGGUAGGCUGGUGGAAAUGAUAGAGGACAGGACAGAGAGGAAUGUGCAGCCACCCUGAGCUCCACCUAAUGCCCAGAGUGACUCCCCUGAAGUGAUGACAGGGUCAGAAUUCUAUCACCAACACCAAGGAGAAGGCAGGGUAUGAGGGGAGACUGAGGAACCCAGAAGAGCAGGGCCAACUUCCCUGUCUCUGGACGGGCAUUCAGGACACUGAGUGCUGGCUGUGCUGGAGCUCCAGCUGCCAAUGGGAAAAACAGCCACUUAGGAACACCUUCCUGCUGCCAUUUGACUCUAGGUCAUGCCUUUGGCCAGAGGGGUGACCUGCCCAUCUCAAAGGGGUUCAAGGCAAGGUUACUUAUCUUAGGGGAAAUACAGAAGGUCCCAGGCACUGUGUCCUAAAGGGGAUCUGGGAUGUCACUGGAUUCCUCUCACCUUACACACCUGACCUAGAAAAAGGGAAUGGUUUGGCCACUAGGGCAAAGGUGAUGGGGCUCUGAGCCUACAGGUAGCAUCCAGGCCCUCAUCAGAUGUUAGGUAAGGUUGGCAGGAUGCCUGGGCUGUCCUUGGCUUGAUCUUCUCCAUAAAAGCCUUCUAAUGUGCAGCCACCCUUAUCUCCUGCUAUUCCUCCCCACUUUGCCAGGAGGAGUCCACACUCUCCUCUCCCCCAUGACACACCCACAGAGGGUCUUUCCCACUUCCCUGCUGUUGACCAGGCUCCUCUCAAAAGUCACUAGGACUUUCUAGACAAGGAGAGCUGCCCAAUUUCACUGAUGGCUGCCAUUAUAAAUAGUGUCUUGGCUUCACCCAUUCAGAAAUAUUCAUUAACAAAUCACAGGAGAGCACAGAUUUGGGUUCCACCCUCUUCUGUCCCCACCAAUCAUGAUGCCUUCACAGGGCCAUCAAGGCCUCUGGGUCUUACAUACAAUGCCCAGGACUUUAUGUGUGUGUGUGUGUGUGUGUGUGAGAGAGAGAGAGAGAGAGAGAGAGAGAGAGAGAGAGAGAGAGACAGAAAGAGAGAGAGAGAUUUUUUUUUCUCAUGCCUGGUUUCCAUCUACAUGACCACAACUCACCUUCUGGGGCACCAUGCUUUCCCACUGCCUAACACAGGAGUCACCUCACACUCUUACAUGGUGCAGCUUCCUCCACCAUCGAGUGGAAAGGAUGAUGUGCUGCUGACUUAACAAGUCUCUGAUCAGGGAUAUUUUAGCAGACUCUGUCCAUUGCUGUCUCAACACAAACCUGAGGAAUCUGGGACUGCUGUCUGUGUACAUUACAUGAAAAGAAAUUUCACCCAGUAAGGAAUUCUGUGUAGGCAGCAUGUUAUUGGGAAGAGGUACGUACCAUCCAUGCCCCUUUUGGGUACUGAGUGAAACCCAGGGUUGCUUUACCACUGAGCCAUGUCCCCCAGCCCUUUUCAUUAUAUUUUGAUACAGCAUCUCACUAAGUUGCUUAGGGCUUUGUUAAUUUUCUGUGGUUGGCCUCAGCCUCCUGAGUCGCUGGGAUUAUAGACAUGCAGUGCGUAUGGAGUGUGCCUUUUGACUUGGAACAUAUCUUAGUUCGAUUUGGGGUGCUAAAACAGUAUAACUGACCUGACACUGGAUGAUGUAUAAAGGAAAUAGAUUUAUUUAGCUCACAGCUUUAAAGCCUGAAAAUCUCUGCUCAGGUGACCUUCUCUAGUAGAUCUUCGUGAGGGACUUUCAGCUAUGUCAUAGCGUGUCAAUGGCAUGACAUAGUAGGACUUUGUAGGAGAGAGAUCACAUGGCGAGAGAGGAAGCAUUAAGACAGGGAAGAGGCCAACUUGCUCUGUUAUAAAAACUUAUACUCACCUCAAAGGAAUUAAUCCACUCCUGUGAGAUCUAAUAAUCCACUCUGAAAGACUAACAUUAAUCCCUUCACAGGGCAGUCCUGAGCCAAACACUAGGUCCUACUUCUGAAAGGUACCUCCUCACUGGGGAGAGUCAUCCACGAUAGGAACCUUUGGGGGUCAAACCAUAUCCAAACCAUACCAUUCUGCCCCCACCCCCAAGGUUCACAUUCUUCUUUUAAUAUAAAAAUGCAGUCAUUCCAUGCCUAUAGUCCUCAAAGGCUGAAGCCUUGCCAGCAUGACUCCAAAGUGCAAAGUCCCAAGUCCCAUCUGGGACUCAAGGCAAAUGUCUUCCAACAGGUUACAUGGUUUCAGGAAACAGCCUUGAAACAGGCACAGGGCAGAUAGUCCUGUUCCAAAAAGGAAGAAUAGCAAGUAGAAAGGGCUCCCAGACCCCCAGCAAGUCUGAAAACAACCAAAGAAGAUACUAGAUCCCCAAACUCCAAGUCCAGCCUCCUAGACACAGGGCAGUGUAUUGGUCCCCAGGGCCUUGGCAGCCCCGCCCCUGGGGUAAUGCUGGUUGCAGUCCACAUGGCUGCUUUCCUGGGCUGCUUGCCAUGGCCUGUGACUUUCCUAGGCUGGCAUUGACACUGCCAGUGACUCUACACAUCUGGGGUCUCAAAAGCAAUGGUCCCACUCUCAUGGCCUCACUAGGCAUUCUGGUGAAGAAUCUUUGCAGUGACUCCACUCCAACAGCAGAGCCUCCAGAACUGUCCUUUGAAACCCAAAGGGAGGCUGUUGUGACAGCAGAGCCCUUGGAUUCUCUGCACCUGCAAAAUAGCACCACUUGGGAAUCACCAAGGUCUGUUGCUUGCUCCCUUUGGAGCAGCAUCAGGAGUCAUGCCUGGGCUUUCGUGAACCAUGGUUGGACAGACCCAGAGCAUUUUGCUAGAACACAAGGAGCAGAAUCCUGAGACCAUGCUAGGGCUUCUUCCAUUGUCUUUGGGGCUCUUGAUGCAAGGACACCCUGGAAGAUUAUGUGUAGGCCUCAGGCCUUCUCUCCCAUGGUUUUGAAGCAGAGAGUCUGGCUCCUUCCCACCCAUAGUUAUCUCUUUUGCAUUCUCUGUAUUCUCACCCAAUCUCCCAUUUUGCUCUUUAGGUGGGCAGAUAUGAAAUUUCCAAUAAUUUAAGGUAUGCUUUCAUUUGCCAACUAUCAUUGCAAAUCUCACUUAAAAUGACCAAAAAUAACCACACAGCUUCUUCUAUAUUUUGCUCAUAAAUGUUGUUCUCUGAAUCUUCUAGGUCAUCAAUGUUAUAUUUGCCCUUCUGUAACAACUUUAUGCAUGAAUACAAUGUAGCCAAGUGUUUACAAUGAUCAAAGGGAUCCUUUCUUCUAAUUUCCACAGAUGGCUCCCACUUCCUUCUGAAACCUCCUUAGGAUGGCCUUUACUAAGCACAUUGCUAUCAGCAUUCUGAAUAUGACCACUUAACCAAUCUCUAUGAGGUUCUAGCUCCUUCCUAGUCUCUUCGUUAUCUGAACUUUCACCAGGAUUACAGAUAAUUCUCCAUUUACAGCAGUAUAAGACUUCUCUUUCUCAUCCUCCUCCUCUUCCUCCUUUUUCCUCUUCUCCUUCUUCUUUUUUGUUCAAGGGGUAUAACCCCAGGGGCACUUAACCACUGAGCCAUAUCCCUAGCCCUUUUUAUUUUUUAUUUUGACAUAGCAUCUCACUAAGUUGUUUAGGGCUUCACUAAGUUGCUGGUUCUGAAGCUGGCUUUGAACUUGCAAUUCUCCUGCCACAGCCUCCUGAACUGCUGAUAUUACAACUGUGCAUUAUUGCACCCAGCAACACAAAACUUUUCUUGACUGCUCCUCCAAACUCCUCCAACCUCUGGCUGUUAACUAUUUCCAAAGCCACUUCCAUAGUUUCAGGUAUUGUUUUAGUAACAACCCCACUCUUGGUAGUAAUUUUCUGUCUCAGACUGCUUUGUGUUGCUAUAACAAAAUAGCCAACACAAGGUAAUUAUAAAUAAAAUAUAGUUAUUUUGCACACAGUUUUAGAUACUAAAAAUCAAGAUCAGGUGGCCCUCUCUGGUCUGCCUCUGUUUUUGUUUUUGGUCUGUUGUUGUGGUUGACACUACUGGGGAUGGACCCAAGGAUGAUCUGCCACUGAGCAACAUCCAUAGCCCUUUUGAUUUUCACUUUGACACAGGCUCAUGCCAAGUUACUGAGCCUGGUCUCAAACACACAAAACGCCUGCCUCAACCUCCCAAGCCUCUGGUAUUACUGGAGUGCAUCACUUUGCCUGGCUCUGGUCUACCUCUGGAGAGGGCCUUGUAGCUAUGUCAUAAAAUGGCACAGACAUGAUGUAGCAGGAGUUUUUAUGAGAUAGAUCAUAUGGCAGAAGCAAAGCAAGAGACGAGAGUGGCCAGGCUGCUCUGUUAGAACAACCCAUUCUCACUUUCCAGAGAAUUAAUGCUCUCCUGUGAGAUCUAACCCUAAUCAUGAUCUAAUCACCUUCCGUUACACCCCACCCCUUUAUAGUCCCACCUCCUCAAUGCUGCCACACUGGGAACUAAACUUCCAGCACAUGAAUCACUGGUGAACAAACCACAUCCAAACCAUGGCAGAAAGAUGAUACUAGAUUGUCCUCUCUGGAGCCUUUACCUGGCUGCCACGCCUAGCCUCAACCACAGCAGUUGACACAUAUUGAUACAUUAGGAUCCACCCUGGGCAGGGCAGCAGGAGAUCCCUGAGGUUGUCCUUGUCUUUUGUUUUUUAUAAUGGAACCUGGCUCAGAUCUACCAAUUUCUGCAGAGGCAGAACGUGAGACUGUGAUGGGAAGUUGCAAGAAGUGGGAGCCACUGCAGGUGGCAACAAUAUCAGGGAGACAGUGCCUUACUGAACACCUCCCUGCACCCUAAGGCACAGAGCAAGAUGUGGUUGCCCAAGAGCUGCACAGCACAGAGGAUGAGCCUCAUAUGAGCCAGAGAGGAAAGGUAAUGAACCCAAUGUGCCCAUCAGCCACUUUCAACAAGUAUCAGGACUGUCGCAACCUAGAUUAUCUGAAAUGCACCCUGUACUUUGCACCAUUGUUCGAAAGCAACCCCAGCUUUCACAUCAUGGGUAAAUUUUUCAUGAGUUCCUACUGAAAAAAAAAGAAGAGGAAGAUUGAUAUAGAUAUUGAUAUGGAUAUCACAUAAGUAGACCGAUAAAGGUAUUUCUGCAAUACUCUGUGUUUUCACUAUAAUGAAAUAUCUACUUAAAUGUUCUAAUUUAUUAUACAAUGAUACUGAUACAGUCUUUACUAAAAAUCCAGAUUCAAAUAGGUUCAUAAUUUGCAAUUACUAGAUCAUAAUACCAACUUUGAAAAAUAAUUAUAUUCCACUCAUUUCUUUUUUAGUUUACACACAAAAUUCACCUCUUUUCCUCCAUGUAAACCUAACCCCACCAUACAUACCCUCUAGUCUGCUCUCUGUGUCUAUGUAUGGACUAAUUCUGGCCUGUGUCAUCAGAAUAGAAUCAGGAGGCAGUUGAGGAGAGUCACAGUGGGAUGGGCAGAAAGUUUCAAGUGAAUGUUGACAGAUCAGGGUCCCUCCAUAGGGCUGAGCUGAGGAGGGCCCACCAGGCCACAGUGCUGCAGGCCAACAGCUGAUGGGCAGACCUGAGCCUAAAGCGCAUCUCUUUGCCUACAGGCCAGGAUUCAGUCAGCCCCAUCCAGACCACCCACACCGGGCAGGGCAGGUGCAGGGCAGCCUCGUCCAUGUGAAGGGUUUCGAUGCGGGGGUCCACAACUUCCUGGGAAUUCCCUUUGCCAAGCCACCUCUAGGACCACUGCGCUUUGCAGCCCCUGAGCCCCCUGAAUCUUGGAGUGGUGUGAGGGAUGGGACCUCCCACCCGGCCAUGUAAGCUCUCCAGGGGUCUGGGAAACCUCAGAGGAACAGGUGCAGGUGCUUAUAGCUGGAGACUCUGUGGGAGGGAUGUGAUUCCCUGAGAGUCUCCUCUACCCAUUCACGUGACACCUAUGACAGGGAUUAUUUGGUCAACACAUGCAGCCAAUGUUUCCCAGACAGGCCCCUAGAGUCAUGAUUGCCCAGCCUCAGGGGGAGUGGGACGCAAGUGCUCAACAACCUUGAGGCCUCCUUGAGGACUGGGCUCCAUUCCAGCUUCCCUGGAGCCUGUGGCCUAGAACUUGGUGGGAAGAGUCUCUGGAGAAGGAUCAAGUGUGAGCAGGGUUGAGGGGGAGUGGGGACUGAGGGUGACUGAGAGCACCCAGACUCACUCUGGACCCACAGUCUGGUUUUGCCCACGGCACAGCUCCUGGAAUAACUGCUAUUAUCACCAGGUGUCUGCAGGAUGUGGCUAGGAAUACACUGGUUGUGAACCUCUUGAAUCUGACCCUCCCCCUCAUCCCAUGUCAGAGGACUGCCUGUACCUCAGCAUCUACUCACCUGCCCAUGCCCAUGAGGGCUCUAACCUGCCUGUGUCAAACCUUGGUCAGCUGCUGAGUGGGAGGACACCUGUUUUGCAAGAAGAUUUUUUAAAGAUGAGAGUAGCCUGAGCCCCACUGCAGUGUGGACCCUGAUAAAAAGACUCUUACUAAUAGGUUCAAGAAAACCUUCUUACUUGGGGUGAGUAACUGAGUCCUGGGCAUGGGAUUAUAGAGACCUGGAUGUCCUCAGAGGUCUUAGGCUGUGGCCCUAGGGUAGAUCCACUACACAGACAACCCAUUCAUACCAGGGAGAGACAAUCAGGAGCUCAAGGACUGAACUUUGACGUCACCCAAAUUCCUAAACAUUGAUUAUCUAUUGAGCUAAUAAAAAUGGGGAACACUGGUUAAUGUUUAUGUGAGACUUUCAGGGAGACACCCCUUUUAUUUCCAUCUCAAAGGACUUCUGGUAAUAAUACAGACAGACUUUGAUACAUGGGAAGACUCAAAGGCAUAAGUGGUCUUGGAUUUCUGAAUGAACCAGAGUCACUUGCCCAUAAGAAAUAUCAUGUCACCUGCUGGGGUGCUGCCCAUGUGGGUAACUACUCAAAGACUAUCAAAAAGUGGUGGAUAGUCUAGAGAGCAGCCCAGGGGGGGAUUUGAGCUGGGUGAGGGCUACGUGGCGUCUGUCUUUAUUUCCAAGAUAAUAGUAUGGAUCCAUGGUGGUGUCUUGGUGGUGGGCAUGGCUUCCAUAUGACGAUGAUUGUAUUCUGACAGCCAUUGAAAAUGUGGUGGUGGUCACUAUCCAGUACUGCCUGGGUGUUUUGGGCUUCUUCAGGUGAGCCUGGGACAGGGAUAGUCAAUGGGGACAGAAGAGACAGAUGAUGGUCCAGUGAUCCCUGUCCCUGCCACUUUUCAGCACUGAAGACCAGCAUGCCACUGGGACUACCUGGACCAAGUGGCUGCCCUACUCUGGCCCACUUUGGAGGCAACCUGAUCGGGUCACCAUUUUUGGCUAGUCUGCAGGUGGCACUAGUGUGUCCUCAAUGGGUGUCUCCAAUGUCCCAAGGACUCUUCCAUAGUGCCAUCAUGGAGAGUGGGGUGGCACUCUUACCCAAAAUCACUUACAUCUCAUCUGAGGUGGUUUCCAUGGUGAGUGUCCUCAACCACCAAAGCCAAGAUCCACAGCCUCGCCCCUCACCAUCAUAGCCACUUCUACUCUGUCUGUUCAGUGGGGACAACAACAGUUGGGGUAUCUUCAAAAUUGAUGUUGCUCCAAAGAUUGCUCAGGGGUUCAAGGGUCACCUUCCACACACAUCUACCUGACAGUGGUUGAUUUUGCUCUAUGGUUGGAAAGCUGCACCCUGGGAGAUUCAUCCAAAGAAGAACUAUCUAAACAGGUUUGAUGGCUCCUCUGGCUGACACCUGAGCUUCAGGGAGGAUAGAACAAUUUCAUAUCUGCAGCAAUCCACACACAACACCCUUUGAGAAUUAGGUGUCACCUGCACUCAUCUGGGACUUUAGACAACACUCGCCUCCAGCCUGGAGGGAUGAUCCAGACCCUGCCUGGUCCCUUUACAGAUGGUGGCCAACCUAUCUGCCUGUGGGAAGGUGGAGUCAGGGGCCUUGGUGAGCUGCCUGUGGGGAGCUGCCUAGUGGGGCAAGAGCAAAGAGGAAAUGCUGGCUAUUACCAAGAUCAGGCUGAAUUAUCAUGGGUACUGAGGAAUGGAAUGGAGACUAAGUGGAGCAGAAUGCUCAAGUGCCCUUUAAACUCUUGGGACAGUUACCUCAUUUCCAUACUAAUGUCUGCCUUUGAAUUGGUGGAACAGGCCUUGAAGAACUACUCAUGGUACAUUUUAGGGUGGACAUUUAGGAGUGAGCCAGUAAAGGUGGAAAGCACUCAGAGGAUAUCAGGAAUUUUCCAAACCUUGACCUUGCUUCCUGUCAUUGAGUGUCCCCUCAGGCCCUCAAGACUAUCUCUCAUGUGGUAGAUGGGACCUUCCUGCCCAGGCUUGAGGAACUUCUGGCUUUGGCUGGUUUUCAACAUGUCCCCAGCAUCAUUGGUGUCAACAAUGAAGAACUGAGUUGGCUUCUUGCCACAGUGAGGUCCAUCCUCCUACCCCUUGUGUCUGGGAAGCCCUGGGGAGAUUUUUACACAUUUGUUGCUCCAGGUUCCUCCAUCUCUAAAUCAAGACUUUCUGCCACCCAGGGCUCAGACACUGCUGACACCCAGAAGGAAAUGGACAGAGCGAUUGUGCAGUCUAUUCUUCAAAGCAUGUUGGCACAGUUGGUGAGGUUCCUGGGGUCCUGAAAAAAAAUCAAGAGGACUCCUGGCUCAGUGGUACACACCUGUAAUCCCAGUGACUCAGCAGACUGAGGCAAGAGGAUCACAAAUUCAACACUGUCCUCUGCAAUUUAGCAAGGCCCUGUCUCAAAAGGGCUGGGGAUAUAGCUCAGUAAUAGAGUGCCCCUGGGUUCAAUUCCCAGUAUUGACAAAAGAAAAAAGAAAUAGAGGGCAUACCAGAUAUCCUGCUCAUGCAACAAACCCCGGCAAAAAAGACUGACCUGUGUGUUUAAUAAUAUAUGAGGUCCCCCCACAACUGGGUCCUUUCAUCCAUUCCUUGUUCAUCCACCUACCCACAGACCUUUGCCUUCCUUCCCCAGAGCUUGCUUAAAGGACUUUCAAUGAUCCCCUGUGCUAGAUGUUGCCUGCUAACUUUGGUGACCUGUUAAUGGAGGAAUACAUGGGAGACAAUGAGGACACCCACACCUUCAGACUCUAGCUCCACAAAGUGAUGGUGGACUUAAUGUUUGUGAUUCCUGCACUCCAAGCAGCACAUUAUCAGCGUGGCCAUAUCUUUGCUGAAUUUUGGAUGCAAAGGAAUGCAGCUCACAAGUGUGGGUCCCAGGUGAGGUCUCUGGUGUCCUGGUUUCCACAUAUGUCUUUAUCAAACUCUGGAAGCAAUAUACUUGGUAGCCCUCAUAUAGAAAAUCCUCAUGGUUAGUGUAAGAGACAGACAUCACCUCUAUUUGACAAAUGA
rnacentral:lncRNA from 1 species